UGACGAUGAAGAGACCACAUCUGCGGUGACAGAAGUGGACAAUGCUAGUAGAUCCACUGAGUACAUACCUAGGGAUUUGCCCACAGAUGAGGGUCCUUCAACCUCAGCACACAAUCUAAGCAGGUUGCCAGCAAAGGAGCUGUAUAAGGUCCAUCUUCAAAAACAAAUAAGAAAAAGUGACAUGUGACAUGGAGAUGGACCUUAUACAGCUUCAAAUGGAAGAGAAAAGGCUCCUCAUUAAAAAAGCAGCACUUGAAAUUGAAUUACUGGACCAUCGCCUUAAGG